rnacentral:misc_RNA from 1 species
CAUUCCCGUUGGAUCUCCCGAUGACACGCUGCCUGAGCCUGAGGUUCAUGCUUUGCCGUCUGAUGAGGAUCACGACCAUGAAGACGACGCCGAUGUAGAACGCGAUCAAGUUCAAGAUCACCCGUCUGGGUCCGCGGAUCAAACCGAAGACCUCAAGCAGAGGAUCAUUAAACAGGUGGAAUACUACUUUAGCGAUGAAAAUUUGCUCACAGACAAACAUAUGUUAGGUUUGAUCAAGAAGAACAAGGAAGGGUUUGUUCCUAUCCAAAUUAUUGCUUCCUUCAGGAAAUUGAAGAAGCUUGCUCGGAAUCGGGACCUUUCGUAUAUUGUUGCUGCACUCAGAGAGUCUUCCUCUUUGGUUGUGAGCUCAGAUGGAAAGAGGGUGAAGCGUCAUCAUCCUUUUCCAUUUGCUGAGGUUAAGGAUCCAAAG